GACGAACGCUGGCGGCGUGCCUAAUACAUGCAAGUCGAACGCACAGUUUAUACCGUAGCUUGCUACACCAUAGACUGUGAGUUGCGAACGGGUGAGUCACGCGUAGGUAACCUGCCUGGUAGCGGGUGAUAACUAUUGGACACGAUAGCUAAUACCGCAUAAUAUUAAUUUUUGCAUGAUAAUAAAUUGAAAAGUGCAAUUACACAACUACCAGAUGGAACUGCGUUGUAUUAGCUAGUAGGUGAGGUAACGGCUCACCUAGGCGACGAUACAUAGCCGAACUGAGAGGGGGAUCGGCCACACUGGGACUGAGACACGGCCCAGACUCCUACGGGAGGCAGCAGUAGGGAAGCUUCGGCAAUGGACGAAAGUCUGACCGAGCAACGCCGCGUGAGUGAAGAAGGUUUUCGGAUCGUAAAGCUCUGUUGUAAGAGAAGAACGGGUGUGAGAGUGGAAAGUUCACACUGUGACGGUAUCUUACCAGAAAGGGACGGCUAACUACGUG
rnacentral:rRNA from 1 species